GCCUCGAUAGCUCAGUUGGUUAGAGCGUGGUGCUGAUAACGCCAAGGUUGCAGGUUCGAUCCCUGUAAGGGGCA
rnacentral:tRNA from 1 species